rnacentral:lncRNA from 10 species
AUGAAAUCUUAUCAUCUGUGAUAACACGAAUAGACUUGGAUCACAUCAUGUUAAGUAAAAUAAGCCAGACGCAGGACAAAUAAUAAUCACACUCAUGUGAAAUCUAAAAAAAAAAAAAAAAAAAAAAAGAGUUGGUAUCAUAGAAGCAGAGUGGAACAGUGGUUAACCAGAGACUGUCGGGGAAGAAUGAAGAGAGGUUGGUCAAGGGCUUCUUGAGCAUUAUGGAUGAAGACGACCAGGACAGAAGUGAUGUGGUGAAAUGCUACUCUCUGAGGGCUGCGCCGAAGAUAAGAGCAAUCAUGGUACUUAGCUUGUUGAAUGAAGAAGGAAAGAGGUUCAUAGAGACCAAUGAGAAUAAACAGCUGAGUUGUACGUUUCUGAAAUUUUUUAAAAUCAAAUUUAAUUUUUUCUCAUGAGAAUCUUAUAUUCCCAAGAAGAGAAACUCUUCCUAUUAAUCUUUAAGUAUAUGUUCCCCAAAUGUGCAGACGUGAGAAAGACCUUCUCAAAUAAAGUAUUCAAAGG